AGCAGCUUCUUUUACGUCUACUCCUACAGAUAAUCUGUCAGCUCACCAUGCGUUUCACAUUAUUGGCCGCUUGUUUGUUUGGUUUCGUUGUGUUUGUCUGUUCAAAAUCAAUUGACAGAAGUGGAAAAGGUAAUGCAAAACGGC